GGAUCGGCAAGUGUGUGGCCCUGGACCUGGCCCGCAGGAACGCCCGCACCAUCCUGGCAUGCCGGAGUCGGGAACGGGGCCAGGCGGCGGGGGAGGAGAUCCGUGCGGCCACUGGCAACCCCGCAGUGCUGCUGCGGCUGCUGGACACCAGCUCGCUGGCCUCCGUCCGUGCCUUUGCCCAGGCUGUGCUGCGGGAGGAGAAGCGGCUGGAUGUGCUGGGGAACAAUGCUGGCCUCACUGGGCUGCCCUUUGCCAUCACGCCUGAGGGGCUGGAGCGGACCUUUGCCACCAACUACCUAGGUCCAUUCCUCCUCACCAACCUGCUGCUGGACCUCCUGAAGGCAUCAGCGCCCGCCCGCAUUGUCAACGUCUCGUCCUUCCGGCACAGCGCGGGCACCGCCGACGGCCGCUACCUCACCGGGCAGGAGCGGCUCAGUGGCC